rnacentral:tRNA from 1 species
AUAUAAAUAAGCUAAAUUUAAGCUCUUAGGCUCAUACCCUAAUUAUAGAAUUAUAUUCUUUUAUGUA